rnacentral:rRNA from 1 species
AACGAACGCUGGCGGCAGGCCUAACACAUGCAAGUCGAACGAGAAGCCACCUUCGGGUGGUGGACAGUGGCAGACGGGUGAGUAACGCGUGGGAACGUGCCUUUCGGUUCGGAAUAACCCAGGGAAACUUGGGCUAAUACCGGAUACGCCCGAAAGGGGAAAGAUUUAUCGCUAUAGGAUGGGCCCGCGUAGGAUUAGCUAGUUGGUGAGGUAAUGGCUCACCAAGGCGACGAUCCUUAGCUGGUCUGAGAGGAUGAUCAGCCACACUGGGACUGAGACACGGCCCAGACUCCUACGGGAGGCUG